UACGUAGGCAGCAAGCGUUGUUCGGAGUUACUGGGCGUAAAGGGGGUGUAGGCGGUUUUUUAAGUUUGGUGUGAAAUCUCCCGGCUCAACUGGGAGGGUGCGCCGAAUACUGAAAGACUAGAGUGCGGGAGAGGUAAGCGGAAUUCCUGGUGUAGCGGUGAAAUGCGUAGAUAUCAGGAGGAACACCGGCGGUGUAGACGGCUUACUGGACCGUGACUGACGCUGAGGCACGAAAGCGUGGGUAGCAAACAGG
rnacentral:rRNA from 1 species